CGUGAUCGUGUGGAGCGGAGGGAUCGGGGUUCCGGCGUACACCGACUACCUCGUCGUCACGACGGGCUCCGGCCAGACGGACAUGUGGGUCGCGCUGCACCCGGACCUCAGCAGCAGGCCGGAGUACUACGACGCCAUACUCAACGGCCUUGAGGUGUUCAAGCUGCAGACGUACGGCAGCAACAACCUCGCCGGUGCCAACCCGCCGAUCCCAAAGAAGCAGCUCCACUGGGGGGAGUCCAAGAGGAAGAGCGUCGUCACCGCGGCCGUGGGUGGAGCGGUCGCUGGUGGCGUCCUUGCGGUGUUGAUCGGCUGCCUCUGCGCGUGCG
rnacentral:lncRNA from 1 species